UCUCCUUUCACUGAAUGCGCGUCGCUAAAAAAUUCAGAAAUAAUAUAAACACCAGAACUUGAAUCCUGAUGGACCGGGACCAUUGUCUCUCUAACCAUCCAACCAUAAACUCGUACGAUUUGAGGGAAUAUGCUAUUCGCCGCUCUCUGCGGUAGCCGGUCGAGCUUUCGCACAAGCUUCACAAGACAACGGUGCUAUGUGGGCCGGCCCAUUAACAGGUUGCACUGACCCUGUUUUUGGGAACCUUCUAAAGGUUCUCAGCCGGUUUUUUACGGUUUGGAAAACUUCUACAAGGCCCCCUCA
rnacentral:lncRNA from 1 species